GGUCUUUGGAGAAGAACGGGUAUUUCAGCAGUGUUUUUACUUCUGGCCACCCUCUCGACCCCGGGUGAGCGCAGUGGGGGCGGUGUGGCGGUACAGGGCUGCUGAGUGAUAAAUGGGGAGGGGGAUCGGAAAGCCUGGUUCUUGGGGGCAGGGAGAUAGCUUUUAGGAAAGCAUACCCUGACACUGGCGUUCGGAGAAAAAGGAACAGGAUAGCUCUCGCUGUUCUGUGUAAAGGUGAACAACAAAGGACAUUAAUGUUGACUGAUGAAUACAGGAGUCUCCCUUCCUUUUCCUCCUCCCAUUUCAGGCGGGUUACAGUUCCCGUUUUUGUUGUUUGAUUUCAGCUGGGUCGCCCCUUGACAGUUACUCCUUUUAGGGUUGAGACUAUUAAGAAGCCAGGCUCUCCGACAAGGCUGCAGCCGGCCAAAUGCAAUUAUAACCUCCCAGAAGGUCUAACAGAAAGCAUUAUGGAUUUUACUAACACUCUUUAUUUCCUAUAAUGCCCUGUUCUGCCGACUGGUGUACUUUGUGUGUGUGUGUGUGUGUGUGUGUGUUUUAAAAUUGAGGACAGGUCUAGUGAUUUAGGUGAUGUGUAGAUAUCUGCUUAUGUUCUAAAUUCAUUUUCCUGCAAUUUAAAACAUCUGGAAAGCCUUCCCAGGGAGUCGUAGUCCGAGGGGAUUUUUGUUUUUUUUUUUCCCAACUUUGCCUGGGGAUAGGACUUUGGGGUCCAUUGAAAGGACUGUAGGAUUCAACAAAAUCAUUCCCACAUUUCACGUUAGCUUCCAUUCUGGAUUGUGACUAAUUACCAAGACAAUAGUUUGACCUGAACCCACCUUUGGGAAAGGUUUCCAGCUUUCCCUCCUUCAAAGUGUCAGAGGAGUCUUUGCCAGCCUCUUUACUGGCAAGGAGUAGAUGUUAGUAGUUGUUAUUUUCGUUCUCCUCACUCUUCUCUUUUUUGGGAGGUAGAUUAACCCUUGCUAGGGAAAAAGAUAGUCCCUUUGCUGGACUGGAAAAGGUAUAGUGAUGAAGUUAUAGUUCUGAGGAACAGGGAACCUUGUCUUUUAGAAAUCAUGUUAAGAGGCACAGUGAUAGGCAAUUUCACCUUAGGAGAUUCUAGUUAGCUCUUGAUUCUGGGCUAGACACUGCUGCCAGCUGUGUAACCUUAGGUAAAUCACUUAGCCUUUCUGGGUCCCAGCGUCUGGGGCAAGUGUUAACUAAAGCCUUCCCUGGUACUAAUUUUGUAGAGCUCUUCCAACUAACUGUGUUCUUUGGUUAGAAAAACAUCUUCAUUGUGUUGAGACUGCUAUGACAGAGACACUUUUGUUGUGACAUAUCUCACUUGGUUUUUAAGUAAGAUCAGAGGCUUUUAUGCACAGAUUCACAGAUGAGUCAUGGCAUCUUCCUGAGCUGAAGGCUGCACCCCUCAAACCUAGCCAGAUGUUUUACAUGUGUGAGCUUAGUUAAGCUUGACAGGAGAACACGGGCUGGAUUGAUCGGUGCAGAAAAUCCAUGAACCUUAUAAGAAACAAAACUCAGAACAAGCUGAUCUGAAGUCACAGUGUCAUUUAAAAAAUAAAUUGUGUGGUGCGAGUAUCACUCAGUCAUCACAUAAAUUCCUGUAUUCUAUUUUUCUUGAAGGAGUUUUUGAACUCAUCUGGGUAGGAAUCAUGUUCCUUUUUAAAGCCCCUUCUAUGUUGGUGGAAGAAGAUGCACCUUCUCGUAUUCAUACAGGAUAGUUAGGUGUCUUUCUCCUUAGAAAGAUGCUUUAAUCAUAGCGUAUGUGUGUGAUAGAGCGUAAUAAGGAUGUGUUUCCUUUACUCUUAGUUUUUUGUAGUUUCUUAGCUAACAGUUUCUUAAAGUGUUUUCUAUUAGUGGUCCUAUGAUGUAUCUACAUAGCAUGUAAAGCUAAAUAAUAAUGUUCUGCUUGGAAUUGUUUGUGACAUUUAGAGCCUGACACAGGAUUCUAAACUUUAAGUGGGAAUAGAAGAGAAAUGAUUUAUACCUCCCAGUAAAAUACCACCGAAGGGCCAUACAGACAGUGGGAUAGCAGCUUAUGUUCUUGAUCUGGCCUCCUAUGGGAAUGGUCUAUAAAAAUGUUCCCCUCUUUUGGUCAUUCCCCUAAGUGACAGUUCUUCACAAGGCCCCUGAAGCCACAUAGAGAUGCUGCUCUUCCUCUAUGAUCUUGUUUUUUUUUGUUUUUUU
rnacentral:lncRNA from 1 species